rnacentral:tRNA from 1 species
GGUGGCUCAGUGGUAGAGUGCUUGCCUAGCAUGCAUGAAACCCUGGGUUCCAUUCCUCAGCACCA